rnacentral:rRNA from 1 species
UACGUAGGGUGCAAGCGUUGUCCGGAAUUAUUGGGCGUAAAGAGCUCGUAGGCGGUUUGUCGCGUCUGCUGUGAAAACGCGGGGCUCAACUCCGCGCCUGCAGUGGGUACGGGCAGACUAGAGUGCAGUAGGGGAGACUGGAAUUCCUGGUGUAGCGGUGGAAUGCGCAGAUAUCAGGAGGAACACCGGUGGCGAAGGCGGGUCUCUGGGCCGUAACUGACGCUGAGGAGCGAAAGCGUGGGGAGCGAACAGG